AAUCUGCGGUGUGCGUAAUAGUUCCACUUAAUUCAACCGACAAAUCAGACACGGGAAACUGUGUUUAGAGUAAUAUGACAAGCCUCCAUAGAGUGGAAGUCAGAAAGCUCUAAUAAGUUACCCACCUUACUAACAGGGCGGGUCUGAAUUAAUGGGCAAACGGCAUUGUGGAUUUU
rnacentral:other from 1 species